UGGUGCAAGAUAAUCAUCCUGUGGCCAUGUAAGUAUGUUUCUUCUCCUUUUGGUUAGAGGUUUUUAGAACACUUCUCACAAAAAAACAUGGAAUUACAUGUAGCAUAAAACUGAGCUGUAAAUGAGAAAAGUGUUUCUUUAAUAGUUAAAUAUAACAAUAACAACAAAAACAAAAAUCUCAGAACUUACAUUCUUUGCAAUUUCAGUACCCUCUGCUUUUACACAGCAGAAGUAUUUAUUUAGGAUCAGGUAUGCUUGGUUCACAUGUCAUAAGGACCAUCUUCUAACAAUAUUACAAAUUAAUUAGAAAGGCUAAUAUACUGUGUUUCAAGUGGAAAAAAUUGUUUGCUUAUAUCUGCAUCACUAACAUAUGAGACCCAGUCUAGAUACUCCUAUAAUAAAUGUUUAAAUAUAGGUGUUCUGGUCUGAUCACUUUCAUAUAGAGGGAUUUAGUUUUAGUGCAUCAUCUUACCAACAUUGCAGCAGCAAAUUUUGGCCUAAAUUGAAAAAUAAUUUCCAUUUGUGAAUCAUCAACCAGUUUUGUGAUACUUAAUGUUUGGAAAAUCUUCUUAAAGAGAGACAUAAUAUUUUUUAACAUUUUUUAUUUUUUUUAUUUUUUACCCCAGAGAAAGAAUUCUUGAUUUGGUAGGAUAUAGUAAGCCUGGAGAAAAAAAUCCAACACACAAUAGAUGGAAUCAUCUAUUCUCUACCUAUUAUCUAUAUUAUACUAAGGUUUCAUUUUUGUCAUCUCCUUUUUCUCCUGACAGGAACAAAGAAGAGGAAUCAGAACAGUUCCCAUUUUCUUCCUUUCUCAACUCCAGAUUUGUUGCCACUUGCAAAGUGAAAGAAGAUCCAGGUUAGGGUCAGCUGCAGCAGCUUGCCCAGGACCAUGUCCAGCUGGGUUUUGAGAACCUCCACAGAUGGAAACUUCACAACACUUCUGGGAAAUCUGUUUCAGCGUUUGACAGUAAAAGAAGUUUUUCUUGUGUUCAGAUAAAUUUUCACGUGUUUCAGUUUGUG
rnacentral:lncRNA from 1 species